AUUGAACGCUGGCGGCAGGCCUAACACAUGCAAGUCGAGCGAGCGGCGGACGGGUGAGUAAUAUAUGGGGACCUGCCCGAUAGAGGGGGAUAACUACUGGAAACGGUGGCUAAUACCGCAUACUAUUGGAUGAUCCCAUAUUGGAUUAGCUAGUAGGUGGGGUAAAGGCUCACCUAGGCGACGAUCUCUAGCUGGUCUGAGAGGAUGAUCGGCCACACUGGAACGGAGAAACGGCCCAGACUCCUACGGGAGGCAGCAGUGGGGAAUAUUGCACAAUGGGCGAAAGCCUGAUGCAGCAAUGCCGCGUGUGUGAAGAAGGCCUUAGGAUUGUAAAGUACUUUCAGCGGGGAAGCGGUACCCGAAGAGAAAGCACCGGCUAACUCCGUGCCAGCAGCCGCGGUAAUAC
rnacentral:rRNA from 1 species